UUUCUUUCUCUUUCUUUCUCUUUCUUUCUCUUUCUUUCUUUCUUUCUUUCUUUCUUUCUUUCUUUCUUUCUUUCUUUCUUUCUUUCUUUCUUUCUUUCUUUUCCUCCUUUUCCUUGCAUGAUUGGAGAGAGACAAUUUGAGGAAUAUAUUCUACAUAGUGAUGUGAUUCAGCAACUUUCUGGCAAACUUAAAUGCAGCCCUUUUUCUCAGCGCACUACCGAAACACAACUGGCAACAAUUUCCUUCAUGCUGAGCUUAACCGAAAGCAGGCAAUGUAUCACAUAACCUGAAGCUCAGAGGUCUCAGGUCACAAUGUCAUUUCUCAUGUUCUUUUAUAUGACUACGAGCUGCUCAAACCCAGCCAGUGACAACAACUGUGUUACUGCAGGAGCUGCUGUGUUACUCAGGGUGGCUCAGCAAAUACAUUUUCCCUUUAAUCUAAAUUCUAGGUAGCUUUUGCCCAUACCAACACACAAGGCCGUUGCUUCUCAGGAUCCCAAGGGCAUACCCAUAGAAAGGUUGUUCUGCAGUUCCACCAGAGCACAGCCCCUGUCGUGGGGUUGCCCUCAUCAGAACUUUGUUGGCAUAAGGGCACAGGGGUGAAUGAGGCUUUGUAACUCCACAGUAGAAACAUGAUAUAGUUUUGUGUAUUUGGUAUUCUCUACCCAAAUGUGGAAAAUCAGAUCAGGAUCAAAAACUACUCUCCUUAAAGGAACAAAUUCCCACUCUCUGCCCCAGUGACAUGAAAAGUAGUAAAAAGAGCUGAGGGAACUGCUGUGCUAGACCAGGUAAAUAAAAACUCUCCCAAUAAAGAUGUCUGUCCAUAGGAUAAAGGAGUUCAAUCUCCAGGCAGGCAGUGUGGUAGCGAUCCCCAGUAAGCAAUGAGUGCCUGCAUUGGGCUGUGCUGCGUCCCCUACUAGAGGGCACAUGCAGGAGUGGUGGGCAGCACACGGUCCUGCUUACCACCAUGACCCCUCCUGCCCUGAGCUGCCAGACAGCCGCAGUAGCAGCUCUGCAGCACCCACAGCUCAUGUGCAGUGCGUCCCGUGAUCAGCCCAAAGAGGAAAAGUGCUGUGCAAGCGUCAGCCGCUGUUGUUCCUGGCAGCACUGCAUGGGGAUGCUUGCAGGCAGUGCCUGUGGGGCUGGCUAACCACUAACCAGCGCGGAGCCUCUGCGCUUAGAGGCACCGAGCACUAUUCACCACACAUAUUCCCAUUUGCAAAAUAAAAAGUGAUUCUGACAACAAAGUCUUCCAGUGACUAAGCGACCAGCGCGCCGCUGGUACCAAGUAGUUGGCACCAUUUCUAUCAUAAACACUGCUAUCAGGUCAUUGUAACUCAGCUGUAAAAACUUGCUCCAGGCUGAUAUUUGGCAAACAAGACCCUGCAAGAUAAUCCUUUUUUAAACACAUUAUCCUAUCUGAGUAAUCUACAGACAUGGGAAUGGAAGAGGUCUGCAGAUGCAAUCCUCACGGACAUCUCUGUUGAUCUUCUCUGCUGAUGUGGAGAAGGGCACCCAGGGAUGGGAGCACCUGGCCAUCUCAGAGGGAAUCCCAGAGUCCCACAGACAUACCUCCUCCCACCUGGAGCCACCAGCUUUCCCACAGAAGUGAAGGGUUUCCUGUGGACUGUACCACAUCUGAAAAAUGCUUUGGUUGAAAAAAUGCCAUCCAUCAGCCUUUCCAAAGAUCUGCACAGAAUAUCCUCAGGACAAUAAAAAUGGUUAAAUGCAACAGGGCUGGAAAACUCAGCACUAAACAAAUUGUAACGAUUAUUUAUGUACCUAUGCUCGGGUUUUAUAGUUAGGAAUGCUCCUUUCAUUGAUUUCAUUAUUAAAAGUCUGUUUCAGCUAAGGGUUUUUUUUAAUGCUGAAUCUCAUUUCCAAACGCCCUCAGGGAGCAACAGCCACAACAAUAAAAUUAGGAACCAAUUACUGAAGAUAAAAUUAGAAUACCUAAGCCCAGCACUAUACUGGGAAAAUGCAGUGUUAAAAUGUAUGAGGUAAAAUGUUUUCUAACUAUCUCAGUGUUAAACCUCAUUUUGUCCUUGGAAUGGGCAAGGGCAGAAAUUUGUGACAAAUUACCAUGUUAUUAAACACAACUGUUUUCUGCAAAAUUAGUGCUGGCUUUUUUUUCCCUCAGUAUUGCUAAGGCCAAAGAGGCUUAAUAAGAUUUUAAAUUAAUUUUUAAUUAAGAAGACUUUUUUUUUUUCUAAUGCUUUUAAACAUUGCUUCCUCUAGGAUCAGGAUGCAGAGAGAUACUGAGAAUAUAGAUGGUACGAAUGGUUUACCUUUCCAUCCUGUUCACACAGUAGAUCUGGAGGAUCUGCAAAAGCAAUUCUUUGGCACAAGUGGAGAAGACACCACAACCACAACUACUACCUCAGUGGCGAAAGCAGCAGUAGGUGCCCACGAUCCACCUACCUACACUAUGGCAACCAGUCAGAUACUUGGUGGUAAAAUCACCUUAUGUGGGUAGGAUUGGCAUUUCAGACCAUAGAUACCACUAUGGAUUGGAGUUGGGCUUCAGCUACCACUCCUGAACAAGCACCUUCAUGAGACAGAUGUUCUCAUGAAGCACACGUUCAGGCUGAGCAAGGCUAGAGAAUGGCAAUUCCUCUUCACGGUCAUGUUGAAAAGUGCACAGCCUUUUCCUGCAGAAAAAAAAAGAAAAAAGAAAAAAGAAGAAGAAAAAAAGAAACUUCAUGUUUCCAAAACCAGAACUGUGUUAUAAUAUCCCAACUGGCAUAGCGGGGGGGAGAGUUGUUCCAGCACUCUCCUCUCACAUCAGGUAACUCCCCCAUUCCUCCUCAUCUUUCAGCCUCAAACACAUGGCUGUUAUGCACUCCUCAACAAAAUACUGUCAGAUGCAUUCACCAAACAUUCUGACGCCGAUGAAAAAAGAAUCAUUCAAUCGAAAAAAAAAAAAAACAAAAAACAUUGUCAUGAAAACACUUUGUUUAGAACAUUGCUUCAGAUGAGUGAACAGCUCAUUUGCUAUUCCUGGGUAUUGGAGUAUAGCUCAGUGCUUUUGCAAAAUAUAUUUUUAAAUAAAGGUUGAAUAGCAUGUUUGUCUUAUACUGCAUACUUGAAACUUCAGAGGAAACAAAGCAUGCUCUCCUGGCAGUAUGGCAGUGUCUACAGGCCUUGAAGCUAGCAGACAGACCCAAUGGGUUUCACGAACCAUUCUCCAGCAAAAAUCUGCACGCAGGAGCUGACUCCUUAU
ensembl:lncRNA